UGAGCGGCACCGGCCGACUGCAGAGUCGCGGCGAGACCCUCGUCAGGGUGGUAGAGGGUGACGCUUCUCAAAACUCACUCUUCUUCCAAAAAGCAACGGGAGGACAACUACACGGCGACAGCCUUUGCAAUCGUUGCAGCAUCAUCACAGACAAGGGAUGCAAGGGAAGAAAUCAAGAAGGUGCCUGGGAAGCUCUGCUCAUGAAACACAGCAGCUCUCUGCAGCACCCGCCAAGACCAGGCUCUGAAGGAUCCCAGUCUGCAUUUGCAGUCCUCCCCACGACUGCGCAACGGGGCUGAUCGAGCUCCAAGACCCCCUAGAAGCUGCACGGAAGGGAGAAAAGCCCAAGCCGCCAGUGCGGGAGUGUCGCAGGGAUGCGGAAACCUCUUUCUGCUGUGGCCAAGCAGGUUGUGGACCGUGAGGAGACAGAAGUGAUGGCAGAGGAGGGCGAACCAAGAAGCAGGAAAGCUGUGCGUGUGGAUAACGCUUCCCGAACUGGGAUAAGCAUGGUGCAGAUGUGCC